rnacentral:rRNA from 1 species
AUUGAACGCUGGCGGCAGGCCUAACACAUGCAGGUCGAGCGGAUGAAGGGAGCUUGCUCCUGGAUUCAGCGGCGGACGGGUGAGUAAUGCCUAGGAAUCUGCCUGGUAGUGGGGGAUAACGUCCGGAAACGGGCGCUAAUACCGCAUACGUCCUGAGGGAGAAAGUGGGGGAUCUUCGGACCUCACGCUAUCAGAUGAGCCUAGGUCGGAUUAGCUAGUUGGUGGGGUAAAGGCCUACCAAGGCGACGAUCCGUAACUGGUCUGAGAGGAUGAUCAGUCACACUGGAACUGAGACACGGUCCAGACUCCUACGGGAGGCAGCAGUGGGGAAUAUUGGACAAUGGGCGAAAGCCUGAUCCAGCCAUGCCGCGUGUGUGAAGAAGGUCUUCGGAUUGUAAAGCACUUUAAGUUGGGAGGAAGGGCAGUAAGUUAAUACCUGGCUGUUUUGACGUUACCAACAGAAUAAGCACCGGCUAACUUCGUG